rnacentral:rRNA from 1 species
UAGGGAAUCUUCGGCAAUGGGGGGAACCCUGACCGAGCAACGCCGCGUGAGUGAAGAAGGUUUUCGGAUCGUAAAGCUCUGUUGUUAAGGAAGAACGAGUGUGAGAAUGGAAAGUUCAUACUGUGACGGUACUUAACCAGAAAGGGACGGCUAACUACGUGCCAGCAGCCGCGGUAAUACGUAGGUCCCGAGCGUUGUCCGGAUUUAUUGGGCGUAAAUCGAGCGCAGGCGGUUAGAUAAGUCUGAAGUUAAAGGCAGUGGCUCAACCAUUGUAGGCUUUGGAAACUGUUUAACUGGAGUGCAGAAGGGGAGAGUGGAAUUCCAUGUGUAGCGGUGAAAUGCGUAGAUAUAUGGAGGAACACCGGUGGCGAAAGCGGCUCUCUGGUCUGUAACUGACGCUGAGGCUCGAAAGCGUGGGGAGCGAACAGG